CUCGUAGGUGGUUUGUCGCGUCGUCUAUGAAAUUCCGGGGCUUAACUCCGGGCGUGCAGGCGAUACGGGCAUAACUUGAGUACUGUAGGGGUAACUGGAAUUCCUGGUGUAGCGGUGAAAUGCGCAGAUAUCAGGAGGAACACCGAUGGCGAAGGCAGGUUACUGGGCAGUUACUGACGCUGAGGAGCGAAAGCAUGGGUAGCGAACA
rnacentral:rRNA from 1 species